UGUAACAAGGUCUCCGUUGGUGAACCAGCGGAGGGAUCAUUACUGA
rnacentral:rRNA from 1 species